AACGAACGCUGGCGGCAUGCCUAACACAUGCAAGUCGAACGAGACCUUCGGGUCUAGUGGCGCACGGGUGCGUAACGCGUGGGAAUCUACCCUUGGGUUCGGAAUAACAGUUAGAAAUGACUGCUAAUGCCGGAUGAUGACGUAAGUCCAAAGAUUUAUCGCCCAAGGAUGAGCCCGCGUAAGAUUAGCUUGUUGGAGGGGUAAUGGCCUACCAAGGCGACGAUCUUUAGCUGGUCUGAGAGGAUGAUCAGCCACACUGGGACUGAGACACGGCCCAGACUCCUACGGGAGGCAGUAGUGGGGAAUAUUGGACAAUGGGCGAAAGCCUGAUCCAGCAAUGCCGCGUGAGUGAUGAAGGCCUUAGGGUUGUAAAGCUCUUUUACCAGGGAUGAUAAUGACAGUACCUGGAGAAUAAGCUCCGGCUAACUCCGUGCCAGCAGCCGCCGUAA
rnacentral:rRNA from 1 species